UAAUUUUUGGGAGGGACUACCUGCAGUCGAGCGGAAACGAUCCUAGCUUGCUAGGAGGCGUCGAGCGGCGGACGGGUGAGUAAUGCAUAGGAAUCUGCCCGGUAGUGGGGGAUAACGUGGGGAAACUCACGCUAAUACCGCAUACGCCCUACGGGGGAAAGCAGGGGAUCUUCGGACCUUGCGCUAUCGGAUGAGCCUAUGUCGGAUUAGCUUGUUGGUGAGGUAAUGGCUCACCAAGGCGACGAUCCGUAGCUGGUCUGAGAGGAUGAUCAGCCACACUGGGACUGAGACACGGCCCAGACUCCUACGGGAGGCAGCAGUGGGGAAUAUUGGACAAUGGGGGAAACCCUGAUCCAGCCAUGCCGCGUGUGUGAAGAAGGCUUUCGGGUUGUAAAGCACUUUCAGCGAGGAAGAAGGCCUGACGGUUAAUACCUGUCAGGAAGGACAUCACUCGCAGAAGAAGCACCGGCUAACUCCGUGCCGCGCCCGGCGGUAAAAGGG
rnacentral:rRNA from 1 species